CACACACACACACAAGCACACACAUCCACUCCCUCCCUCUCUCUUACUCUCUCUCUCAUUUCCCCUCAUAGGUUCUAUGCAGGCAGAUGAGUACCACAGCUGUAACUGAGGCACACGGCAAUAAACACAGUGGAGCCAAUUUCUACGAUGGCGAGAGAGGGGGCAUCAGAGUUGACAACAAUGACAAGGAUCCAAGGACCGUCCUUCUGACAAGUUUCAGAUUUGCAGCCUCAUGGAGCGAGUGA
rnacentral:lncRNA from 1 species